AGGCAAAGACGGGUAGGGGGCGUGAGAGCGUGACCCCCACACUGGCACUGGGACACGGGCCAGACUCCUACGGGAGGCAGCAGUGAGGAAUAUUGCGCAAUGAGCGAAAGCUAGACGCAGCAACGCCGCGUGGGUGAUGAAGGCCUUCGGGUCGUAAAACCCUUUUCUGGGGGAAGAGUAAGGACGGUACCCCAGGAAUAAGCCUCGGCUAACUAUGUGCCAGCAGCCGCGGUAAUACAUAGGAGGCAAGCGUUAUCCGGAUUUACUGGGCGUAAAGAGCGUUGAGGCGGCUUCGUAAGUUGGACGUGAAAGCUCCCGGCUUAACUGGGAGAGGCCGUUCAAUACUGCGGGGCUUGAGGACAGCAGAGGGGGGUGGAAUUUCCGGUGUAGUGGUGAAAUGCGUAGAUAUCGGAAGGAACACCAGUGGCGAAGGCGGCCCCCUGGGCUGCUCCUGACGCUGAAGGCGAAAGCUAGGGUAGCGAACGGGAUUAGAAACCCCGGUAGUCCUAGCCGUAAACGAUGGAUACUAGGUGUAGGAGGUUAAAAUUCCUUCUGUGCCGGAGCUAACGCGUUAAGUAUCCCGCCUGGGGAGUACGGUCGCAAGGCUAAAACUCAAAGGAAUUGACGGGGGCCCGCACAAGCAGCGGAGCGUGUGGUUUAAUUCGAUGCAACGCGAGGAACCUUACCAGGGCUUGACAUGUAGGUAGUAGUGAAGCGAAAGCGGAACGAUCCUUCGGGAAGCCUACACAGGUGCUGCAUGGCUGUCGUCAGCUCGUGCCGUGAGGUGUUAGGUUAAGUCCUGUAACGAGCGCAACCCCUGCCGUUAGUUACAAGUGUCUAACGGGACUGCCCGGCAAAACUGGGAGGAAGGUGGGGAUGACGUCAAGUCAGCAUGGCCUUUAUGUCCUGGGCUACACACACGCUACAAUGGCCGGUACAAUGGGUUGCCAAGCCGCGAGGCGGAGCCAAUCCUCUAAAGCCGGUCUCAGUUCGGAUUGUAGGCUGCAACCCGCCUGCAUGAAGUUGGAGUUGCUAGUAACCGCAGGUCAGCCACACUGCGGUGAAUACGUUCCCGGGCAUUGUACACACCGCCCGUCACGUCAUGGAAGCUGGUAACA
rnacentral:rRNA from 1 species